GAUGAACGCUGGCGGCGUGCCUAAUACAUGCAAGUCGAGCGAACAGACGAGGAGCUUGCUCCUCUGACGUUAGCGGCGGACGGGUGAGUAACACGUGGAUAACCUACCUAUAAGACUGGGAUAACUUCGGGAAACCGGAGCUAAUACCGGAUAAUAUAUUGAACCGCAUGGUUCAAUAGUGAAAGACGGUUUUGCUGUCACUUAUAGAUGGAUCCGCGCCGCAUUAGCUAGUUGGUAAGGUAACGGCUUACCAAGGCAACGAUGCGUAGCCGACCUGAGAGGGGGAUCGGCCACACUGGAACUGAGACACGGUCCAGACUCCAACGGGAGGCAGCAGUAGGGAAUCUGCCGCAAGGGGCGAAAGCCUGACGGAGCAACGCGGCGUGAGUGAUGAAGGUCUGCGGAUCGUAAAACUCUGUUAUUAGGGAAGAACAAAUGUGUAAGUAACGAUGCACGUCUGGACGGUACCAAAUCAGAAAGCCAGGGCUAACUACGU
rnacentral:rRNA from 1 species